GAUGAACGCUGACAGCAUGCUUAACACAUGCAAGUCGAUGGGGAAGUGGUUCUUGCCCCCUGGCAACCAUGGCGGACGGGUGAGUAACGCGUAAGGGACUUACCUGCAGGACUGGGAUAACAGGGGGAAACUCCUGACAAUACCGGAUAAUGUCAUGGAGCUGCAUGGCUUUAUGAUGAAAGGAGACGCCUGCGGAGAGCCUUGCGUCCUAUUAGCUAGUUGGUGAGGUAAUGGCUCACCAAGGCGAAGAUAGGUAGGCGGCCUGAGAGGGUGGACGGCCACAGGGGGACGGAGAGACGGACCUUACUCCUACGGGAGGCAGCAGUGGGGAAUAGUGGACGAUGGGGGCAACGCUGAUCCAGCAAUUCUGUGUGCACGAAGAAGGUUUUCGGAGUGUAAAGUGCUUUCAGCAGGGAAGAAGUAAGUGACGGUACCUGCAGAAGAAGCGACGGCUAAAUACGUG
rnacentral:rRNA from 1 species